rnacentral:sRNA from 1 species
GCCAGACACGGUGGCACAUGCUUGUAAUCCUAGUGACUUGGGAGGCUGAGGCAGGAGGAUUGCGAGUUCAAAUCCAGCCUCAGUAACUUAGUGAGGCCCUAAGUAACUCAGCGAGACCCUGCCUCUA